GAUGAACGCUGGCGGCGUGCCUAAUACAUGCAAGUCGAGCGAACAGACGAGGAGCUUGCUCCUCUGACGUUAGCGGCGGACGGGUGAGUAACACGUGGAUAACCUACCUAUAAGACUGGGAUAACUUCGGGAAACCGGAUCUAAUACCGUAUAAUAUAUUGAACCGCAUGGUUCAAUAGUGAAAGACGGUUUUGCUGUCACUUAUCGAUGGAUCCGCGCCGCAUUAGAUAGUUGGUAAGGUAACGGCUUACCAAGGCACCGAUGCGUAGCCGACCUGGGAGGGUGAUCGGCCACACUGGAACUGAGACACGGUCCAGACUCCUACGGGAGGCAGCAGUAGGGAAUCGUCCGCAAUGGGCGAAAGCCUGACGCAGCAACGCCGCGUGAGUGAUGAAGGUCUUCGGAUCGUAAAACUCUGUUAUUAGGGAAGAACAAAUGUGUAAGUAACUAUGCACGUCUUGACGGUACCUAAUCAGAAAGCCACGGCUAACUACGUG
rnacentral:rRNA from 1 species